rnacentral:rRNA from 1 species
AGAGUUUGAUCAUGGCUCAGAUUGAACGCUGGCGGAAUGCUUUACACAUGCAAGUCGAACGAUGAACCUUAGCUUGCUAAGGGGAUUAGUGGCGAACGGGUGAGUAAUAUAUCGGAACGUGCCUUGUAAUGGGGGAUAACUAGUCGAAAGAUUAGCUAAUACCGCAUACGCCCUGAGGGGGAAAGUAGGGGAUCUUCGGACCUUACGUUAUAAGAGCGGCCGAUAUCUGAUUAGCUAGUUGGUGGGGUAAUGGCCUACCAAGGCUUCGAUCAGUAGCUGGUCUGAGAGGACGACCAGCCACACUGGAACUGAGACACGGUCCAGACUCCUACGGGAGGCAGCAGUGGGGAAUUUUGGACAAUGGGCGCAAGCCUGAUCCAGCCAUUCCGCGUGAGUGAAGAAGGCCUUCGGGUUGUAAAGCUCUUUCGCAAGGGAAGAAAACUUACACAAUAACACUGUGUGAGGCUGACGGUACCUUGAUAAGAAGCACCGGCUAACUACGUGCCAGCAGCCGCGGUAAUACGUAGGGUGCGAGCGUUAAUCGGAAUUACUGGGCGUAAAGCGUGCGCAGGCGGUUUGGCAAGUCAGAUGUGAAAUCCCCGAGCUCAACUUGGGAACUGCGUUUGAAACUGCCAGACUAGAAUAUGUCAGAGGGGGGUAGAAUUCCACGUGUAGCAGUGAAAUGCGUAGAGAUGUGGAGGAAUACCAAUGGCGAAGGCAGCCCCCUGGGAUAAUAUUGACGCUCAUGCACGAAAGCGUGGGGAGCAAACAGGAUUAGAUACCCUGGUAGUCCACGCCCUAAACGAUGUCUACUAGUUGUUGGUGGAGUAAAAUCCAUGAGUAACGCAGCUAACGCGUGAAGUAGACCGCCUGGGGAGUACGGUCGCAAGAUUAAAACUCAAAGGAAUUGACGGGGCCCGCACAAGCGGUGGAUUAUGUGGAUAAUUCGAUGCAACGCGAAAACCUUACCUGGCCUUGACAUGCCACUAACGAAGCAAAGAUGCAUUAAGGUGCCGUAAGGGAGAUGGACACACGGUCUUGCUUGGGUUGCGUCAGCUUCGUGUGCGGGAAGUUUGGGUUAAUUCCCGCCACCAAGCGGA